AUGAACGCUGGCGGCGUGCCUAAUACAUGCAAGUCAAGCGAACAGACGAGGAGCUUGCUCCUCUGACGUUAGCGGCGGACGGGUGAGUAACACGUGGAUAACCUACCUAUAAGACUGGGAUAACUUCGGGAAACCGGAGCUAAUACCGGAUAAUAUAUUGAACCGCAUGGUUCAAUAGUGAAAGACGGUUUUGCUUUCACUUAUAGAUGGAUCCGCGCCGCAUUAGCUAGUUGGUAAGGUAACGGCUUACCAAGGCGACGAUGCGUAGCCGACCUGAGAGGGUGAUCGGCCACACUGGAACUGAGACACGGUCCAGACUCCUACGGGAGGCAGCAGUAGGGAAUCUUCCGCAAUGGGCGAAAGCCUGACGGAGCAACGCCGCGUGAGUGAUGAAGGUCUUCGGAUCGUAAAACUCUGUUAUUAGGGAAGAACAAAUGUGUAAGUAACUAUGCACGUCUUGACGGUACCUAAUCAGAAAGCCACGGCUAACUACGUG
rnacentral:rRNA from 1 species